CAAAGAUUAAGCCAUGCAUGUCUCAGUGCAAGCCGAGUUAAGGUGAAACCGCGAAAGGCUCAUUAAAUCAGUUAUGGUUCCUUAGAUGGUACGCACAGUUACUUGGAUAACUGUGGUAAUUCUAGAGCUAAUACAUGCAAAUAGAGUCCCGACCAUUCUUUGGGAGGGAUGCUUUUAUUAGAUCAAAACCAAUCAGGCCUUUUGACCUGUUGUUCUUGGUGACUCUGAAUAACUUUGGGCUGAUCGCACGGUCACGUACCGGCGACGCAUCUUUCAAAUGUCUGCCUUAUCAACUGUCGAUGGUAGGUUCUGCGCCUACCAUGGUUGUAACGGGUAACGGGGAAUCAGGGUUCGAUUCCGGAGAGGGAGCCUGAGAGACAGCUACCACAUCCAAGGAAGGCAGCAGGCGCGCAAAUUACCCACUCCCGGCACGGGGAGGUAGUGACGAAAAAUAACGAUGCAGAACUCUUUCCGAGGCUCUGCAAUCGGAAUGAGUACACUCUAAAUCAUUUAACGAGUAUCCAUUGGAGGGCAAGUCUGGUGCCAGCAGCCGCGGUAAUUCCAGCUCCAAUAGCGUAUAUUAAAGUUGUUGCGGUUAAAAAGCUCGUAGUUGGAUCUGUGUUUCACGCUGUCGGUUCGCUGUCCGUCAGCGUUUAACUGGCAUGUAAGUGGGACGUCCUGCCGGUUGGCGAUGCGCUAUCGUAAGAUGCGUCUUCGCCAGUCCAAUCCUGUCGCGGUGCUCUUUGCCGAGUGUCGAGGCAGGCCGGCACGUUUACUUUGAACAAAUUUGAGUGCUUAAAGCAGGCUGCUACGCCUGAAAACUGCUUGCAUGGAAUAAUGGAAUAGGACCUCGGUUCUAUUUUGUUGGUUUUCGGAGCCCGAGGUAAUGAUUAAUAGGGACAGGCGGGGGCAUUAGUAUUGCGACGUUAGAGGUGAAAUUCUUGGAUCGUCGCAAGACUGACCUAAGCGAAAGCAUUUGCCAAGGAUGCUUCCUUUAAUCAAGAACGAAAGUUAGAGGUUCGAAGGCGAUCAGAUACCGCCCUAGUUCUAACCAUAAACGAUGCCAGCCAGCGAUCCGUCGAAGUUCCUCCGAUGACUCGACGGGCAGCUUUCGGGAAACUAAAGCUUUUAGGUUCCGGGGGAAGUAUGGUUGCAAAGCUAAAACUUAAAGGAAUUGACGGAAGGGCACCACCAGGAGUGGAGCCUGCGGCUUAAUUUGACUCAACACGGGAAACCUCACCAGGCCCAGACACCGGAAGGAUUGACAGAUUGAGAGCUCUUUCUUGAUUCGGUGGGUGGUGGUGCAUGGCCGU
rnacentral:rRNA from 1 species